rnacentral:misc_RNA from 1 species
UGUGGAUGCUGUCGCUGCUG